rnacentral:lncRNA from 1 species
UCAAGACCAUGAAAUGGAGCCUAAAUCCAUCCACCAUGGUAGUGACUGUAUACAGUAGAUACAAUUGCAGUUCUCAUUUUGUGGAAACUGGGACUCAGAGUCAACCCAGGCACCAGACCUGAUUCAAGCCUGUCUGUCUGACGUCAGGGGCCACGUGUGGAAUGGAUCUUUGAUGCUGCGUUCAGCUCAGUGACUGCUCAGAACUGAUGACCCACAGGCCAGAAGGCACUAGCCCUUGGAGCUGUGGAUGCAAAAACACUGCAAACUGUUUUUGAGUAAUUUCCAGCCUCGUCUUCUGGAUUUACUUGACCAAGCAGGUGCCUGAAGUCUUGCUCUGAGAUGUUCCUGUGCCUUUGUUGGUCUGAAUGCCGAGUUUAAAUCUUUCCACUAUAAAAGUCCUCCCAAUACAUAUUGGUGUGAAAAGAAAA